UACAGAGGUCCCAAGCGUUGUUCGGAUUUACUGGGCGUAAAGCGCGCGCAGGCGGUCGCGUAUGUGCCGUGUGAAAGCGCCGGGCUACUCCCGGCGAGGUCAUGGUAGACAGCGCGACUUGAGCCUCGGAGAGGUCGGUGGAAUUCCGGGUGGAGCGGUGAAAUGCGCGGAUAUCAGGAGGAACACCGGUGGCGAAGGCGGAUCUCUGGGCCUUACCUGACGCUCAGGUGCGAAAGCUAGGGGAGCGAACAGG
rnacentral:rRNA from 1 species